rnacentral:rRNA from 1 species
AUUGAACGCUGGCGGCAUGCCUUACACAUGCAAGUCGAACGGCAGCACGGGAGCAAUCCUGGUGGCGAGUGGCGAACGGGUGAGUAAUGUAUCGGAACGUGCCCAGUCGUGGGGGAUAACGUAGCGAAAGCUACGCUAAUACCGCAUACGAUCUAUGGAUGAAAGCGGGGGAUCGCAAGACCUCGCGCGAUUGGAGCGGCCGAUAUCAGAUUAGGUAGUUGGUGGGGUAAAGGCUCACCAAGCCGACGAUCUGUAGCUGGUCUGAGAGGACGACCAGCCACACUGGGACUGAGACACGGCCCAGACUCCUACGGGAGGCAGCAGUGGGGAAUUUUGGACAGUGGGCGAAAGCCUGAUCCAGCAAUGCCGCGUGCAGGAUGAAGGCCUUCGGGUUGUAAACUGCUUUUGUACGGAACGAAACGGCGAACUCUAAUACAGUUUGCUAAUGACGGUACCGUAAGAAUAAGCACCGGCUAACUACAUGCCAGCCGCCGCCGUAA